GUUGCCGUGUUUUACCCCUCUGCGUCGAGUUUAAAAACCCGAAUGGGGUUAUUUGGGCCGCGAUCUUGAGGGACAUUAACACCAAUUAACACUGUGGGUUGUUAACUUACUCGGUUCAGUUUCGCGCCAAAUGCAGCGCCGCGUGGGCCUCAGUCGCCAUCUUUGUGCGAUCCAGGGAGGUCGUGUCUGUGCUGCGUGUGACGUCUUGUUGAAUAUGGCUCAAGAUGAGCAGAAUGAAGGUCAAUCUCGAAGUCCCACAGUCAGAGCUCAAGACUGUCAGGCAGGACUUCAUUCCUUGAUGAAUGCGGCUCAACUGCUAACAGGAUAAGAAGACACGGACCGGGAGAAGUUGGACGCUUUUUAGAAUUUCCUCUCGUACCGCUAGUGUCAUGGGUGGAGGGGAGCGAGGCUGCCAUCUCCGAAGACAACACGCCUCUGAGUGUGCGCCUCCUAGUUUGUGCGGCAAUGUUCCCCGUGUUCAAUGAGAAAAUUCAAUGCCCCAGCGCUCAGAACUCCCAGCUAGUAUUGACGCAAGAGCUCUCCCAAAUGUCGACCGGAAAGUCGUUAAAAAAUCGUUGCGACGACCGCGGCUCGACAAGCUGAGGACCGCGCCAGUGAAUGCAUGUGAAACGGCACCUCUACUCUCUCAUCGCCAGGCCCAAAGACGUGUUGUUUAUAGGUGUCUUUCAUAAUACUAGUGUUGCUGAUCGCGGAGGACCACUGUCCACUGCUCGUCCGCCGUGGCGUUACUUCUGAUGAGGCUCAGAGCGCAUGUGUAUUGUUUACUGUGAACAAUCUGUUGAAAUAUAUAAUGAGUAGAUCUGUA